rnacentral:rRNA from 1 species
GACGAACGCUGGCGGCGUGCCUAAUACAUGCAAGUAGAACGCUGAGGAGAGGAGCUUGCUCUUCUUGGAUGAGUUGCGAACGGGUGAGUAACGCGUAGGUAACCUGCCUUGUAGCGGGGGAUAACUAUUGGAAACGAUAGCUAAUACCGCAUAACAAUGGAUGACACAUGUCAUUUAUUUGAAAGGGGCAAUUGCUCCACUACAAGAUGGACCUGCGUUGUAUUAGCUAGUAGGUGAGGUAAUGGCUCACCUAGGCGACGAUACAUAGCCGACCUGAGAGGGUGAUCGGCCACACUGGGACUGAGACACGGCCCAGACUCCUACGGGAGGCAGCAGUAGGGAAUCUUCGGCAAUGGGGGCAACCCUGACCGAGCAACGCCGCGUGAGUGAAGAAGGUUGUCGGAUCGUAAAGCUCUGUUGUAAGUCAAGAACGGGUGUGAGAGUGGAAAGUUCACACUGUGACGGUAGCUUACCAGAAAGGGACGGCUAACUACGUG